rnacentral:rRNA from 1 species
UACGGAGGGUGCAAGCGUUAUCCGGAUUUACUGGGUUUAAAGGGUGCGUAGGUGGGCAGGUAAGUCAGCGGUGAAAUCUCCAAGCUUAACUUGGAAACUGCCAUUGAUACUAUCUGUCUUGAAUUAUCUGGAGGUGAGCGGAAUAUGUCAUGUAGCGGUGAAAUGCUUAGAUAUGACAUAGAACACCAAUUGCGAAGGCAGCUCACUACGGAUUGAUUGACACUGAGGCACGAAAGCGUGGGGAGCGAACAGG